rnacentral:rRNA from 1 species
AUUGAACGCUGGCGGCAUGCCUUACACAUGCAAGUCGAACGGUAACGCGGGGCAACCUGGCGACGAGUGGCGAACGGGUGAGUAAAUGCAUCGGAACGUGCCCAGAAGUGGGGGAUAACUACUCGAAAGAGUGGCUAAUACCGCAUGAGACCUGAGGGUGAAAGCGGGGGAUCGCAAGACCUCGCGCUUUUGGAGCGGCCGAUGUCAGAUUAGGUAGUUGGUGGGGUAAAGGCCUACCAAGCCGACGAUCUGUAGCUGGUCUGAGAGGACGACCAGCCACACUGGGACUGAGACACGGCCCAGACUCCUACGGGAGGCAGCAGUGGGGAAUAUUGGGCAAUGGGCGAAAGGCCUGACCCAGCGACACCGCGUGGGUGAUGAAAGCCUUCGGGUUGUAAAGCCCUUUCGUGCGGAAAGAACUGUUCCGCGGUUAAUACCCGCGGAAUUUUGACGGUACCGCAGGAAGAAGCACCGGCUAACUCCGUG